CGAUGUGAUGCAGCCCUCUGUUCCCAGUCCUUUGAAGAGGAGUCUGCCAACCCAGGGACGGUCAGGGUUAGGCUGUUGUGGAUUCCCAGAUGAUUAGUGGACUGCAGCCUGCCAGAGGAAGUGAGCAGAGUUCAGGGACGUACUGCGGCCAACUCCGGCGUUGAAGGUACGGGGUUGGACUGGCCAGGUUGCAUGGAAGAAGAGCAGACCGUCUCCAGUAGCGCAGCAGUUCUGUGAUGCACUGCGGUCAAUCCCUGACGUGCAGCAGAAGAGGAGAUGUAUGCUGACCCGGGAGGAUCCCAACAGCAGUCAAGCAGGGAAGAGGAGGAUGCGCAGCAAGCAGCAGAGCCCAGCCCAGCCCUUCGCAGCCCAGCCCAGGAUCCAGCGCAGCCCACACCAGCCAGCCCAGCCCCCCAGAGGAUCCAGUGCCGCUACCAGGCAGCCUAACAGAGAAGCAUUUUGAAUUUAUUUCUUUCCUUCUGUCUCCUCUGUCUUCUUAGCACUUUCCUAAUCUAACACAACUAACCAUCCCCUACCCCUUAACAUUGAUUUUGUUGUAAUUUCCUUGAAUUUGUGUGCUUUGUUUCAUUGUUUUGAAUUUUUACUAAUCUCGUCUCAGUUGUAUAUUUUCAGGCACUCGGACGUGGUACA